UACGUAGGGCGCAAGCGUUGUCCGGAAUUAUUGGGCGUAAAGAGCUCGUAGGCGGCCUGUCACGUCGGGUGUGAAAGCCCGGGGCUUAACCCCGGGUCUGCAUUCGAUACGGGCUGGCUAGAGUGUGGUAGGGGAGAUCGGAAUUCCUGGUGUAGCGGUGAAAUGCGCAGAUAUCAGGAGGAACACCGGUGGCGAAGGCGGAUCUCUGGGCCAUUACUGACGCUGAGGAGCGAAAGCGUGGGGAGCGAACAGG
rnacentral:rRNA from 1 species